rnacentral:rRNA from 1 species
CCUACGGGGGGCUGCAGUAAGGAAUAUUGGUCAAUGGACGAAAGUCUGAACCAGCCAUGCCGCGUGGAGGAUGAAGGUCCUCUGGAUUGUAAACUUCUUUUAUAUGGGACGAAAAAAGGCCUUUCUAGGCCGUCUGACGGUACCAUAUGAAUAAGCACCGGCUAACUCCGUGCCAGCAGCCGCGGUAAUACGGCGGGUGCAAGCGUCAUCGGGAUUAACUGGGGUUAAGGGGUGCGUAGAAGUCAUGGUUGAAAUCUCCGAGCGUAACUUGGAAACUGCCAGUGAUACUAUUGAUCUUGAAUAUUGUGGAGGUUAGCGGAAUAUGUCAUGUAGCGGUGAAAUGCUUAGAUAUGACAUAGAACACCAAUUGCGAAGGCAGCUGGCUACACAUAUAUUGACACUGAGGCACGAAAGCGUGGGGAUCAAACAGGAUUAGAUACCCUAGUAGUC